rnacentral:rRNA from 1 species
UACGAACCACACAAACGUUAUUCGGAAUCACUGGGCUUAAAGGGUGCGUAGGCUGCGCGGCAAGUUGGGUGUGAAAUCCCUCGGCUCAACCGAGGAACUGCGCCCAAAGCUGCCGUGCUCGAGGGAGACAGAGGUGAGCGGAACUUAGGGUGGAGCGGUGAAAUGCGUUGAUAUCCUAAGGAACGCCCGUGGCGAAAGCGGCUCACUGGGUCUCUUCUGACGCUGAGGCACGAAAGCUAGGGUAGCGAACGGG